AACAACUGGAUGUCAACAUUCCAGCUAGUUUGAAUGAAGAGGACAAAGUGGAAGAGCUGGCCAAGGAUCAGAUUUGUCUGCAGGAUAAUUGCACUGAAGACAAUGAAGUGGAGGAGCAAGACGACAAUCACGUAUUCUGGCAAUACGAAUUUGGGCCCCAGCUGGGUAAAGGAGGCGGUGGCUGUGUGUAUGCAGCGACUCGCUGCACGGAUGGCCUU